AUGGACAUGAGUGUGAGGGUCAGUGAAUAUUGUGUCAUCUUACUGACAGGAUUAUCUGUGUUUGCAGAUGUCCAGUGUGAGGUACAGCUGGUGGAGUCUGAGGGAAGCUUGGUGCAGCCUGGAAGUUCCCUGAAACUCUCCUAUACAGCCUCUGGAUUCACAUUCAGUGACUCCUGGUUGAAUUGGGUCUGCCAGGCUCCAGGGAAAGAAUUGGAGUGGGUUGCCGAAAUUAGAAACAAAGUAAAUAAUUAUGCAACAUCCUAUGCGGAGUCUAGAAAAGGCAGAUUCACCAUCUCAAGAGAAGAUCCCCAAAGCAGUGUGUACCUGCAAAUGAACAGUGUAGGAGCUGAAGACACCACCAUUUACUUUUGUCGGGGGGCACAGUGA